AUGCGCAGAUAUCAGGAGGAACACCGAUGGCGAAGGCAGGUCUCUGGGCUGUUACUGACGCUGAGGAGCGAAAGCAUGGGGAGCGAACAGGAUUAGAUACCCUGGUAGUCCAUGCCGUAAACGUUGGGCACUAGGUGUGGGGGACAUUCCACGUUUUCCGCGCCGUAGCUAACGCAUUAAGUGCCCCGCCUGGGGAGUACGGCCGCAAGGCUAAAACUCAAAGGAAUUGACGGGGGCCCGCACAAGCGGCGGAGCAUGCGGAUUAAUUCGAUGCAACGCGAAGAACCUUACCAAGGCUUGACAUGUACUGGUAACGCCUGGAAACAGGUGCCCCCUUUUGGGCCGGUAUACAGGUGGUGCAUGGUUGUCGUCAGCUCGUGUCGUGAGAUGUUGGGUUAAGUCCCGCAACGAGCGCAACCCUCGUUCUAUGUUGCCAGCGCGUUAUGGCGGGGACUCAUAGGAGACUGCCGGGGUCAACUCGGAGGAAGGUGGGGACGACGUCAAAUCAUCAUGCCCCUUAUGUCUUGGGCUUCACGCAUGCUACAAUGGCCGGUACAAAGGGUUGCGAUACUGUGAGGUGGAGCUAAUCCCAAAAAGCCGGUCUCAGUUCGGAUUGAGGUCUGCAACUCGACCUCAUGAAGUCGGAGUCGCUAGUAAUCGCAGAUCAGCAACGCUGCGGUGAAUACGUUCCCGGGCCUUGUACACACCGCCCGUCAAGUCACGAAAGUUGGUAACACCCGAAGCCGGUGGCCUAACCCCCUUGUGGGGAGGGAGCCGUCGAAGGUGGGACCGGCGAUUGGGACUAAGUCGUAACAAGGUAGCCGUACCGGAAGGUGCGGCUG
rnacentral:rRNA from 1 species